ensembl:snRNA U6 U6 spliceosomal RNA
GUGUUCACUUUGGCAGUACAUAUACUAAAAUUGGAAUGAUACAGAGAAGAUUUGCAUAGCCCCUGUGCAAUGAUGACACGCACAUUCGUGAAGCAUUCCAUAUUUUU